GUGAGCCAGUGGAAUGGAGGGGCUGUGGGCAGGGAGAGAUGUGAAGGAAAGAGCUAGGACCCAUUCAUCCACUGCAUUCCUGCUUGGUCCAG
ensembl:miRNA